AUCCCUUCCUCCACUGCAGUUCCGGCUUAGAACAGGACACAGUGCAGUGAUUCAAAUGGACUUCUUCUUCAUUGGAUUCGUCUUGCUUUGGUGGUUUCUGUGGACUCAGCUGUUCCCGCGUGGCGAUUACAAUGGACUUUCGUUGUUACACUUGCUCCCCCUCUUUCCUCUGUGGACUAUAACUGGAGCCCCAAGUCGACCAGAACUUGGAGACUCCCCCGACACGACAGACGGAUCCCCAUCGUCCGGACCACUGAGGAUCUCGCCUGUGUUGGUAGCUAUUCCCAUACCCCUCUUCUCUCUCUCUCUCUCCUUUUAUCUCCUUUCCGAUCCCCACUAUCGCAUUUACUGUUUUGGCCCCUAAUAAAGGUGCAUUUGUUGUGAUUAA